CGCCUCUUGUCCAUCUCAAAUAAGAGGUCCCGCCUGCCCAGUGACCAUGAGUUCAACGGCCGCGGUAUUUUAACCGUGCAAAGGUAGCGCAAUCACUUGUUCUUUAAAUGAGGACCUGUAUGAAUGGCUAGACGAGGGCUAGACUGUCUCUUUUCUUCAGUCAAUGAAAUUGAUCUCCCCGUGCAGAAGCGGGGAUACCCGCAUAAGACGAGAAGACCCUGUGGAGCUUUAGACACUAGAGACAGACCCUGUUAAGCCCCCCGGCCAAGGGGAUAAACUUAGGGGCCCCUUCUCCCAUGUCUUCGGUUGGGGCGACCACGGGGAAAAAAAUAACCCCCACGUGGACAAAGAACAUUGACUUCUCACACCAGAGAGCCGCCGCUCAAGCUCACAGAACCUCUGACCUAAGGAUCCGGCAACGCCGAUCAACGAACCAAGUUACCCCAGGGAUAACAGCGCAAUCCUCUUUUAGAGGCCUUAUCGACAAGAGGGUUUACGACCUCGAUGUUGGAUCAGGACAUCCUAAUGGUGCAGCCGCUAUUAAGGGUUCGUUUGUUCAACGAUUAAAGUCCU
rnacentral:rRNA from 2 species